CCUACGGGUGGCAGCAGUGGGGAAUAUUGCGCAAUGGGCGAAAGCCUGACGCAGCGACGCCGCGUGAGGGAUGAAGGUCUUCGGAUCGUAAACCUCUGUCAGCAGGGAAGAACGGUCACUGUGCUAAUCAGCAGUGAAUUGACGGUACCUGCAAAGGAAGCACCGGCUAACUCCGUGCCAGCAGCCGCGGUAAUACGGAGGGGGCGAGCGUUAAUCGGAAUUACUGGGCGUAAAGCGCUCGUAGGCGGUAUAUCAAGUCAAGGGUGAAAUCCCCGCGCUCAACGUGGGAACUGCCUUUGAAACUGGCAAACUGGAGUGUGUGAGAGGAUAGUGGAAUUCCAGGUGUAGGAGUGAAAGCCGUAGAUAUCUGGAGGAACAUCAGUGGCGAAGGCGACUAUCUGGCACAUAACUGACGCUGAGGAGCGAAAGCGUGGGUAGCAAACAGGAUUAGAUACCCUAGUAGUC
rnacentral:rRNA from 1 species